rnacentral:lncRNA from 1 species
GCUAGAUAGAUGGGCUAGGGACCACAUGUGGCCUGUGGGCCAUAGUUUGGGAACUUCUGCUCUAAGGUCUUCUAAGUACAGAUCCAAACUUGAAAAGUAGAGGACAAGUUGUGAAUUUCCCAGCUCAAUGGAGGAUCAGGGAGACACAGUAGUCCCUGGUGAUAUGUUACAGACUAGAAGAUGCCCCUUCUUUCUUCCAUAAUCUCAAUAUGUAAAACUUCUCUUUCCUUCAGAUGGCCCAGAUAUUGCCACGAUUGCCCAUUCAGUAGAUGAGUACCCUAUUGGAGCAAAUAUUACCUUGAGCUGUUCUGCUGUUUCUAAUCCACCAGUCCAAUUCACUUGGUUGCACAACGGACAACCAGUCAGCAACUCAGCCACAUUUUCAUUUAUUGCAUCCAUGACUCUUUCUGGAACUUAUACCUGUAAUGCAGCCAACUCAUUGACUGGCUUGACACGCUCCGCAACCAAGAAUGUUAUAAUCUAUGCGCCACUGUCCAAACCUACCAUUGUCACCUCCAACAUUACUGCAGUGGAGACCAAGGACUUCUCAUUCACAUGCCAGGCUACAGGUCAAAUUCACACUUACCGGUGGUUCAUAAAUGGACUUGCCCCAUCUGGUAGCAGGAUACAGCUGUCCCCGGAUAAGAGGACACUCACUAUCCGCAAUCUCAUAAGAACGGAAAACAAAGGACCCUAUUAG